CUCAAUGAUAAUCAGCCGAACUUUUUUUUUAAUUUUCAACUCUAUUUGCCAUUGAAAAUAUCUACCUGUUCUUUGUUUGCUAACCAUUAUUGCUUAUUUCCUUUUCCCCUAUUUGGGUAACCGGGACAUUGUUUAUGGGGUCUUUCCAAUUUUUGAUAUCAGCAAGUGACGUAACCUCACUAGGGCCCACUAAUAGAAGGUUACGUCACUUGCCGAAAUCAAAAAGUGGAAAGGCUCUAUGAAUAUAAGGAUAUCGAUAUGUGCCGAUUAAAAUAACACAAAUUGAGUGACAAAAUGUUUGUGGUUGUGGCAUGCAAUGAAUAAAAUUUAUUGAUGGUAGUGAAAACGUGUCCAUCGCUUGUAUGUAUUCACAGCCAUUUGCAAUAUAAUAAUCUCAUUAUUAACGCUGAUUAUAAAAGCGAUUACAUAUAUAUUUUUCAACAAAAAAAUUAACGCUAAGAAAGGGAAUAAGAAACAAAAACACGAAACGAAAGUUAAUGACACCAAUCGAACAAAAACUGUUUUAUUGGUUUUGUAUUUAUUAACAAAAAUACUGUAUGUUUUAUCUUUAUUUUUUAUUUCAUGGUUCAAAACCUUUUUGUGUUGAUUUCUCAUACUGCAGGUGUUCUGGAUUACACAAAUGGUUUAUGGAAUUUCACAAAUUUCGUAAAGGAUUGGUUUAAUAGUCUUUAGGCAAAUAAUUUUAAAGAAUCUUUUCAAAGCACAACUGUUUCUGCACUACCCUACAAAAGUCACAAUGGUGUCUAUUUAUUAUCGUUUGCAAUGAAAUCAUUUGCCAGAUAUUGAAAACCCCGCUUUGUGUCAAAAUAAAGUUAUAAAUGAGAAGUAUGAAAAAUUAUAUAAAAUCCAAGAAAAGUAGAAAACGAUGCACCGUUUUUGGCAAAAGCUGUAAAACGCGUACACACCAUGAGUAUGAUCAUGAUGUGCCGUCUAAAAAGGUCAUUAUACCUAAGGAACACAUGUUACCGGCUGUUAUCGCAUGAUAUCGAUAAAUAUUUUGUACAAUUUAUCACAUACAUCUCAAUUCCAUAGGAUAGAGAGAAAAAAGCAGAGAUGUGUUAUAUUUGUGUUAUAUCCUGCAUAUUGGAAAUUGCGUGUUACCAGCUCUUAUUGCGAAAUAUCGAUAACUAUACCGUGACUUUGUUUAAUUAGUUUAAUUUUAGCUCUAAACAAUACUGAUCACUGUUAAUCGGUUAGUAUUGUACGUUAUCCUAUGACCUAAAAUAUAACACAGGACAUUUUUGGCCAAAUAUUGCUUAUCGACCGAUGUUGAAAGUCGCAAAAGAAGUUAUGUAAAUUUUCAGUAAAUUUUUUUAAAAGUUGAGUCCUCUAAACGUAAGUAAAGUUAGAAAUAUAAAUGAACAAAACUAGUCCAUUUACAAACCCUACCGACCUGCAUCAAUGAGUGAUAAGCUUUAUUCAUUCAAAUGUUAUCGUAUUUUCGAGAGACGGAUUUAUAUGGCUAGAUCGACAUAAAUACAAUGUAAUGAGGGUCAAGAACAUACAAAUAUAGUUUAUGGGAUCAUUCGUCCAAUAUUUUUAGCUUUUACAAACGGAAUGAUAAAGCUUGUAUACCCCUAUCCUAUGGUGGAAGGUAUAAAAAUUUAUUUUAUUCCAUGGAUAUACAAUUUGUCAUACACUUUAAUAUUUUAAAUUUUCUGUUUUUACCCCAAGAUUUCGAAUAGCUCAUCAUUGGUGAUAUGCUCAUACGGAAAAGUCAUUAAUUAUUAACAUUAUUUAAAAUUUCACACAACACUUAAGUAAGGAAACCAUUUGCUUUUUUGUUCAAAGUACAUAGCACCCCGCUUUGCCAUCUAGGAAGGAAAUGGCAACACAACAUCUUAACGGUGGUUUGUUUGUCAAGACGUGUUGCCAAUUGCAUUGCACAAUAUGAUGUUCUUCCAGGAUUGCCGUUUUGUAUAUUCUAUCAUUUUGCAAUAAUAACGAACAUAAAAUGGGACUUGAAAUUAUACUGCGUAGUGACAAUUUAAUGCAAAAACAUUACUCACAUAGGAAUAUAUGAGAUUGGUUAGUGUGUGCGUGUGUUCAUAUGUUCAUGUGCCACAUACUAAAAACACUGAGGUGUAUAACGUGUCAAAUACUGACAACAAAGAGAAGGCAAAUACAAAGCGCAUAGGAAAAAGAAUUUAACAGAGAUAAUAUGUAAACAAAAUAAGCAUUAAUAUAUAAAAAAAGAAAAUAAAUAAAACAUUUAAAUACCUAUAAGCAAGAUCAUUCUCCCUUUAUCACACAUUCCGGUGGACCAGUAUUGCCAUUUACAUAAAAUAUGACUUGGUUUAAAAUUCAUAGAUUUGCAAAGUUAUUAUGCGUAACUUGUACGAAUGGGUUUCG
rnacentral:sRNA from 1 species